ACUGCCCGUGAUAAGCGGGAGGAAGGUGUGGAUGACGUCAAGUCCUCAUGGCCCUUACGGGUAGGGCUACACACGUGCUACAAUGGCAGUGACAAUGGGUUAAUCCCCAAAAACUGUCUCAGUUCGGAUUGUCGUCUGCAACUCGACGGCAUGAAGGUGGAAUCGCUAUUAAUCGCCGAUCAGCAUGCCGCGGUGAAUACCUUCCCGGGCCUUGUACACACCGCCCGUCACAUCAU
rnacentral:rRNA from 14 species